rnacentral:rRNA from 1 species
UACGGAGGGUGCAAGCGUUAUCCGGAUUCACUGGGUUUAAAGGGCGCGUAGGCGGUCCGAUAAGUCCUGUGUGAAAUCCCUCGGCUCAACUGAGGAACUGCACGGGAGACUGUCGGGCUUGAGUUCGGGAGAGGGAAGCGGAAUUCCGGGUGUAGCGGUGAAAUGCGCAGAUAUCCGAAGGAACACCGGUGGCGAAGGCGGCUUCCUGGACCGACACUGACGCUGAGGCGCGAAAGCUAGGGGAGCAAACGGG